GAGAACAGACUAUGAGAUGGUGAGAUGAGACUCGUGUGUGUUCUCUGCACGACUGUGCGCGCUGAACCGUAAUGUCCUUACCGCAACGGUUCGGGACGAAUACACGUACCGUUACACCCCUAGCGUGUAAUCACCUGCGUUUGGGCUGUAGGGUCUCUGACUGUUUUCGCUCUGUAUUUUAGGAAUGGCAGGAGGUCCUCGUUUCGUACCAACGGGCUUGUGUUCGGGCGGCAGUGUCGGUGUGGAAUUCAUCCCGCGGCCAGACGCCAGAAGGAGCACAUCUGAAGAAGCUCAAGUUGAGGGUGUUCCCGGUGAGGACUCAUCUAAAAGACUUAUCUGAUGUUUGUGGACUGGCCCGUAGACAUGCUUAAUUUGUAUAGAUUGAUGGAUUCAGGGAACAAAUCUCCCAUUGAAGAACGUCAAUUUGAGUUGGUGUGUUUGACAAAAGUGCAUUGUGGGCGUUGGCCUUUGAGUCAACAGUCCUGCAGUUUUCAUUGCAUGGUGUAAAAGACUGUAACUGCUUUGACUUUUUUUCUCUGACAUGGAGGUUUGUUUGGGGUUUUUUUUGUUUGUUUUUCUUUUAAGACAAUGUUACAAAACACACUUCAAAUAAAGAGGCCUUUGUUUUGAACCAUU